AUGGCGGUGGGGAUUUUCCGGCCGCAUAACCCCUAUCACGUGACCAAGGACCUGAUUGACCUUUUCCCGACGGAGGAAAUGGCCGCCGACCGGGAACUGCUUGAUUAUUACAUUCAGGU
rnacentral:rRNA from 1 species